rnacentral:rRNA from 1 species
UACGUAGGGUGCGAGCGUUGUCCGGAAUUAUUGGGCGUAAAGAGCUCGUAGGCGGUUUGUCGCGUCGGCUGUGAAAGCCCGGAGCUCAACUCCGGGUCUGCAGUCGAUACGGGCAGACUUGAGUGUUGCAGGGGAGACUGGAAUUCCUGGUGUAGCGGUGAAAUGCGUAGAUUAUUAGGAGGAAUACCAGUUGCGAAGGCGGCUCUCUGGACUGUAA